GAUGAACGCUGGCGGCGUGCUUAACACAUGCAAGUCGAACGGGAAUUAUUUUAUUGAAACUUCGGUUGAUUUAAUUUAAUUCUAGUGGUGGACGGGGGAGUAACGCGUGGGUAACCUGGCUCAUACAGGGGGAUAAAAUGCUGAAAUGGCAGCACAUCCUGCAAAAGAGGACAGAGCUGCAAGGGAUACAAUGAAAUACUGCGGUGGUAAAACAUGGAUGUGUGUGGGAUUUGCUGGUUGGUGGGGUAACGGCCCACCAAGGAGACGAGCCAUAGCCGGCCUGGGAAGGUGAACGGCAACAUUGGGACUGAGACACGGCCCAGACUCCUACGGGAGGCAGCAGUGGGGAAUAUUGCACGAUGGGGGAGAGACUGAUGCAGCCACGCCGCGUGAAGGAGGAAGUAUCGCGGUAUGUAAACUUCUAUCAGCAGGGAAGAUAGUGACGGUACCUGACUAAGAAGCCCCGGCUAACUACGUG
rnacentral:rRNA from 1 species